GAUGAAGAACGUAGCGAAAUGCGAUAAGUAAUGUGAAUUGCAGAAUUCAGUGAAUCAUCGAAUCUUUGAACGCACAUUGCGCCCGCUAGUAUUCUGGCGGGCAUGCCUGUCCGAACGUCAUUUCAACCCUCAAGCCCCCGGGCUUGGUGUUGGGGAUCGGCGAGCCUCCGCGCCCGCCGUCCCCUAAAUCUAGUGGCGGUCUCGCUGUAGCUUCCUCUGCGUAGUAGCACACCUCGCACUGGGAAACAGCGCGGCCACGCCGUUAAACCCCCAACUUCUGAACGUUUGACCUCGGAUCAGGUAGGAAUACCCGCUGAACUUAAGCAUAUCAAUAAGCGGAGGA
rnacentral:misc_RNA from 1 species